rnacentral:sRNA from 1 species
AUGUACCCCUCACACUCCGGUUCCUCCGCGCCGGCCGCACCCACCUGACAACAACUGCUCGCUACGUUUUGUUAGCU